GUCUCCGAGGAUGAACAAAUCGAAAACACUUUCGUUCUUCUGAGUUGUUUCCAUGCUGAAAAAUUUUGGAGACCUGAACUGAGGAGGC